ACAUGCAUGAACCAAUAUUUCAUGAUAACAUGUAUGAACCGAAUACUUAAUGAUGACAUGUAUGAACCAAGUACCUAAUGAUGACAU